GACAGAGGAGCCAAGCGUUGUCCGGAUUGACUGGGCGUAAAGCGCACGCAGGCGGCUGUGCACGUGGGGUGUGAAAGCUGGCGGCUUAACUGCCAGACGCCACCUCAUACGGCACGGCUCGAGCCCGUGAGAGGUCCACGGAAUUGCCGGUGUAGUGGUGAAAUGCGUAGAGAUCGGCAGGAACACCAGUGGCGAAGGCGACUACCUGGCCUGUUCUUGACGCUGAGGCGCGAAAGCUAGGGUAGCAAACGGG
rnacentral:rRNA from 1 species